ensembl:snRNA U6 U6 spliceosomal RNA
GUGUUCACUUCGGCAGCACAUAUACUAAAAUUGGAACAAUACAGACAACACUAGCAUGACCCUUGUGCAAAGAUGACACGUAAAUACGUCAAGUGUUCCAUACUUAA